rnacentral:rRNA from 1 species
UACGUAGGUGGCAAGCGUUGUCCGGAAUUAUUGGGCGUAAAGCGCGCGCAGGUGGUUUCUUAAGUCUGAUGUGAAAGCCCACGGCUCAACCGUGGAGGGUCAUUGGAAACUGGGGAACUUGAGUGCAGAAGAGGAAAGUGGAAUUCCAAGUGUAGCGGUGAAAUGCGUAGAGAGUUUGGAAGGAAUCACCAGUGGCGAAGGCGACUUUCUGGUCUGUAACUGACACUGAGGCGCGAAAGCGUGGGAGCCGAACGAGG